CUGGAAACAGAGACAAAUGCCGUGCAGUCGAACUGAGGUUUAAGCCUGUUGCACACCGCUCUGGCAAGAGUCGUCUUGCCCAACCCUCCUCCUCCAACGACAGUGCCAACGCGUUCAUCAGCUCGUCGCUUGCCUCGUCGAUGCCAACCAGCUCCGCCUCGUCUCUGUACAGGCCGUAUAGCCGCGGAUCGCAGCCGCCGGUGGCGGCGGAGGCGGCACCGUUGUUGAACCGGGCGACAACGGUGUCGGUGACAUGGGACCGGGAGUAUCAUGACUAGAGGUUUGGGCAGGAGCAAUCACCCACGUGGCCUGACCCCCUCGGGGGGGGGGGGGGGUCGGGCCCGAGGGUGAUGAGGCCGCCACUCUCUUCGUCUCCCCGAGGGGUCGGACCGCUCCCGUUUCGGCCCCGAGGGCCGAGGCGCCCCGACCCCUUAUGGGUUUUGCGCCGCGUGUAUGGGUUAGGUGAGCACAGCGAGGCUCACCUAACCGCAUUUAUUGCAGGUUUGAACGAGCGCGUCACGCCGCAUGUAACGCAGUGCAGCGCGCUCGUUUAUCCGGUCUGUGACCGGUCACAGACCGGUCAGAUCGUGGGUUAGGUGACAACAGGCGGUCUGACACACGCCUCGCCCCAUCCCGUCAGGAUAAGAGCCUCCAGGCACUUGUCCCUAGCCGGAGCCAGCGUGCUAGCUCCUGGAGAUGGCACGUUGGUCCCGGUCAGAUAUAUGCCAGGCUUCAUCCCAACCGUUACAAGCAAGACAUUGUAUGAAGAAGGGCGAACAUGCAGAUUGAUAAACUGACGCGUGGUGGACAAGAAUGACCGAUUUGUGACCGGCCUGACACUGGUCAUGUCGUCGGCAGAUAGCCAUGUUCCCACGUCGCACCUGCUUCCGGCGGAAGUGGAGGUAGGUAUGGGCCGUCCUAUCAGAAGGUCAUUCGGACGGCAACCAUUACAAAUCUCCGCCCAUUUAUGAAGGAAAGGCGGGCGAAGUUUUAGAAAAAAGAGCAAGUUUUAGAAAAAAGAGGAUGGGUCCCCACCAAAAAGGGAAAUAGGUAGAAGUGGUGCAUGUGGUAUCCCCUUGAGAUAUAAAAGGAGGACCUUGCCCACUUGCGGGAGAAAAAAAAGAAAAAGAGGGGAGGAGAAGAUCCCACGAGAGGAAAAAAGGAGGAAAGGGGUUUCUAGAGUUUGAGCGCUCUGGCUCUCCAGCUCUUGGUAGCUUCUUCAUACACAGAUCUACCAGAACACAGGAGUAGGGUAUUACGCUUCUCAGCGGCCCGAACCUGUAUACAUCGCCCGUGUCUUGUGUGUUUCCACUUUGGCGAACGUUCUACAGACUAGGAGCUUAGAACCUCACCCAGGGCCCCCGGCCGAACCGGCAAAGGGGGACCUGCGCGGUCUCCCGGUGAGGAGCCCCACGCUCCGUCAUCUGGCGCGCCAGGUAGGGGGCUCUGCGUGUGUUUUUCUAAGCUCUCAUACUCUUUCGUGUGCGCCAAGCUUUUCCUGUUCAGCCCAAUGGCUGAACAAGCAAAAGCGCACAACCUCUCUCCGAGUGUUAGCGGUGACGACGGGGAGCCGAACCCACGCCGUCGAGCUCGUACUCCGCCGCCCCCUCCACGCCAAAGUCCAAGGCGGGAGGAGGCGCUCGAGAGGGUCGAAGGAUCCGCGACUUCAACAUCCACGGGUGAUGGGAAAGGGCGCCGAGAUGGGGAGCGUCGCCUCCUCGUCUACGGCGACGGCAGCACGCCCCAGGGCGUGCUCCAAGCUGCGGGCGCGCUCCUACGUGACCCGCCCGUUGUCCCUGACCCGGAGUCUCCAGCCCAACGUUGGCUGGACGACGUGGCCAACUUGGUCAUGACGGCACGGCAGCGCCUAGGUGUUGGUGGGCGGUCCUCCGCCACCAAGACCUCUGGCGCUGCUACCACCGGCUCCGUAUCGUCAAGACGGAGGGCGCGGCGAGCGGCGGUUGUUGCUCGCCAUUCAACUGCCACUCCCCCGUCAGCACCUCCGACCCGGGAAGAUCAGCGUGGGGUGCCAGAUGCCCACAUCGGUAUCGAGCGCCGGCGUGAUGGUCGACGUGCUGCCCACGCAACGGAGGGCGCCUCCUCGUCCGGAGUGUCACCUCAACACGGACGCGGGGAUCAGCCCUCCGUGCCCCCGGUUGGUGGUGUCGGCUGUAGAGCCUUUGUGGCGAGCCUUCGGAACGUCCGUUGGCCCCCAAGGUUCCGGCCCACCAUCGCCGAAAAAUAUGACGGGAGCGUCAACCCCGCCGAGUUUCUCCAGGUCUACACGACCGGGAUCGAGGCCGCCGGGGGUGAUGACAGGGUCAUGGCGAAUUUUUUUCCCAUGGCCCUGAAGGGACAGGCGCGGGGUUGGCUAAUGAACUUGCCACCCGCGUCGGUCCACUCUUGGGAGGAUUUGUGCCAACAGUUCACCAUGAACUUUCAAGGCACAUAUCCGUGCCCAGGUGAAGAAGCGGACCUACACGCAGUACAGCGAAGGGAUGAUGAGUCACUUCGCUCAUACAUUCAGCGGUUCUGUCAAGUCCGCAACACCAUACCAUGCAUCCUUGCACACGCGGUGAUCUACGCGUUCAGGGGGGGUGUGCGGCACAACCGCAUGCUCGAAAAGAUCGCCUCCAAGGAGCCCCAGACUACCGCGGAGCUUUUUCAGCUCGCGGACCGAGUGGCUCGUAAGGAGGAGGCCUGGACCUGGAACCCCUCCGGUUCCGGUGUGGCGACUUCGGCCGCCCCCGGGUCCGCUGCUCGGAUAGGGCGGCGUGACAGGAGGAGGAAGAAGAGGUCAGCCGAUUCCGACGACGAGGGUCAUGUCCUCGCCGUCGAGGGCGCUUCGCGGGCCACCCGAAAGGGGAGGCCUGCGAGCGACAAAAAGAAGGAGGCCGGCGCUCCCAGCAGGGAGCGCCCAACCGGCAAGUGGUGCAUCGUCUACAACACCUCCCUUCACGACCUCGCGGACUGCCGCGCAGUCAAAAGUUUGGCUGAGCGGACGAGGAAGUGGGAGGAGGAGAGGAGGCAGGUGCGCCGAGAGGGUAAGUCCCCGGCGGUACCCUCCGGCAAUCGGCGAAGCGAGGCCAAGCAGAAGGCCCCCGCCGAGGACAUCGAUGAUGGUGAUGAUGACCUAGGUUUCCAGGAGCCUGGGGCCACCAUUGCCACUGUCGAUGGGGGAGCGUGUGCUCACGUUUCUCGCCGGAACCUUAAGGCCAUGAAGCGAGAGCUUCUGGCCGCGGCCCCUACUCAUGAGGCGACGCGUCGGGCGCGGUGGUCGGAGGUUGCCCUCACCUUCGACCAGACCGACCACCCACCGUGUGUUGCCCGGGGAGGACAGAUCGCGAUGGUGGUUUCCCCCACUGUUUGCAACGUGAAGUUGGGGCGUGUCCUCAUAGACGGGGGGCAGCCCUCAACAUCCUUUCCCCCGCGGCCUUUGACGCCAUCAAGGCCCCGGGGAUGGUGCUCCGGCCGUCCCAGCCGAUUAUCGGUGUGACGCCGGGGCACACAUGGCCGUUAGGUCAUAUCGACCUACCGGUCACCUUCGGUGGAUCCGCCAACUUCCGCACGGAGCGGAUAAACUUCGAUGUGGCGGACCUAAGUCUGCCCUACAACGCGGUCCUAGGAAGGCCCGCGUUGGUGAAGUUCAUGGCGGCGGUCCAUUACGCCUACCUCCAGAUGAAGAUGCCGGGCCCCGGUGGUCCCAUCUCUGUCCAUGGCGACCUCAAAGUCGCGCUUGCUUGUAUGGAGCAGCGCGCGGACCACCUCGCCGCUGUGUCCAAGCCCGAGGGUGGCGAUGAGAGGCUUGGCACCUCCGUCCCCGCCGCCCCGAGGCAGCGGAUGAUCACAUGCGAUGAGGUCCCGGUCAAGGAGGUUGCCCUGGGUGACGGCCCGUCCAAGACCACACGAAUCGGUGGUCUUUUGGAUGGCAAAUAGGAAGACGCGCUCGUCUCCUUCCUGCGGGCAAACGCUGACGUCUUCGCAUGGAGACCGGCGGAUAUGCCCGGGGUCCCCAGGGAGGUGAUUGAGCACCGUCUCGCCGUGCGGCCGGGCGCAAGGCCGGUCCGGCAGAAAGUGCGGCGGCAGGCCCCGGAACGUCAAGCCUUCAUCCGUGAGGAGGUGGCGCGACUUCUAGAGGCCGGAUUCAUCCACGAGGUCAUCCAUCCGGAGUGGCUGGCGAACCCGGUGGUCGUUCCCAAGGCGAACGGCAAACUUCGGAUGUGCAUCGACUACACCGACCUUAACAAGGCAUGUCCUAAGGACCCUUACCCCCUGCCUCGCAUAGAUCAGAUUGUCGACUCCACAGCGGGGUGCGACCUUUUGUGUUUUCUAGAUGCAUACUCUGGUUACCAUCAGAUUCGCAUGGCUAGGGAGGAUGAGGAAAAAACUGCAUUCAUUACCCCCAUAGGAACUUAUUGUUAUACGACAAUGCCCUUCGGGUUAAAGAAUGCAGGUCCUACUUUUCAACGUACUACUCGAAUUUCUUUGGGUAGCCAAAUAGGACGUAAUGUUGAGGCUUAUGUCGAUGACUUGGUUGUGAAGACGCGCAACCAAGAAACUUUACUUUCGGAUCUGGCGGAAACUUUCGAGAGUCUCCGCUCCGCCCGCAUAAAGCUGAACCCCGAUAAGUGCGUGUUCGGUGUACCUGCGGGCAAGCUUCUCGGGUUCUUGGUCUCUGCCCGAGGCAUCGAGGCCAACCCCGAGAAGAUACGAGCUAUAGAGCGGAUGCACCCCCCCAGCAAGCUUAGGGAUGUGCAAUGCGUCACCGGUUGCAUGGCCGCCCUAAGUCGGUUCAUAUCGAGGCUGGGAGAGAAGGCGCUACCCUUAUUUAAGCUCCUCAAACGCUCCGGGCCGUUUACUUGGACGGAGGAAGCUGAACGUGCCCUCACUCAGUUGAAGGCGUAUCUCAGCUCUCCCCCAGUUCUGGUCGCCCCGGAGCCAGAUGAACCCUUGCUACUCUACUUAGCGGCGACCCCGCAAGUAGUUAGUGCGGCGUUGGUUGUGGAGCGCGAUGAGGGCAAUCCUCAUUCCGCGCAUCCCCACCCUGUGCUGGCUUGGCCCGGGAGAGAGCAGGGAGGAGAGGCCCCCGAGCCGAACGGUGGCCCAAGGCCCCCGACGACCGGAGCUGGCCCUCUGCCCGCUUGUCAGACGGUGCCAGGUGCCCCCGACCCCCAGGAUGGCCUGGGGGCCACUGCGGGAAGGCCGCACCUAUCGCCCUCUGACCCCGAGGUUAACCCUGUGCCGACUCGACCCGGGAGAGAGCAGGGAGGAGAGGCCCCCGAGCCGAACGGUGGCCCAAGGCCCCCGACGACCGGAGUUGGCCCUUUGCCCGCUUGUCCGACGACGCCAGGAGCCCCCGACCCCCAGGACGGCCCCGAGGCCACUGUGGGAAGGCCGCGCCUAUCGUCCUCCGACCCCGAGGUCGUCGGCACAGAAGACGAGUGCGCCCCGCGAGGCCGCUUGGACGAAGAGCGCCCCAGGGAUGCGGCCCCUGGCGAAGAGGAUCGGCCCCACCGAAAGGUGCAGCGGCCCGUCUACUUUGUUAGUGAGGCCCUCCGGGACGCCAAGACUCGAUACCCUCAGGCCCAGAAGAUGCUUUACGCUAUUCUGAUGGCUUCGAGGAAACUGCGCCAUUAUUUCCAGGCGCAUCGGGUCACGGUGGUUACGUCUUACCCCCUCGGACAAAUCUUGCAUAAUCGAGAGGGUACAGGACGGGUGGUGAAAUGGGCAAUUGAACUUUCUGAGUUCGAUUUGCACUUUGAACCACGUCACGCUAUCAAGAGCCAGGCCCUCGCCGAUUUUGUGGCAGAGUGGACCCCGGCUCCCGAGCCCCUCUCAGUCCCCGAGGCCAGCUCGGGCCCCUCGCAGCUGCCUCACACCGCCCACUGGGUGAUGCAGUUCGACGGCUCCUUGUCUCUUCAGGGCGCCGGUGCGGGGGUCACGUUGACCUCGCCGAGCGGAGACAUCCUCAGAUACCUGGUUCGCCUCGACUUUCGGGCGACCAAUAAUAUGGCAGACUACGAGGGACUCCUUGCGGGACUCAGGGUGGCAGCUGGACUGGGGAUCCGCCGCCUCCUGGUGUUAGGCGACUCCCAGCUGGUUGUUAACCAGGUGUGUAAGGAGUACCGAUGCUCUGACCCGCAGAUGGAUGCUUACGUACGCCAAGUACGGCGUAUGGAGCGCCAUUUCGACGGGAUAGAGCUUCGGCACGUGCCCAGACGGGAUAACACGAUUGCCGACGAACUCUCACGAGUCGCUUCCUCGCGAGCCUAGACCCCACCGGGCGCCUUUGAAGAAAGGCUUGCCCAGCCGUCGGCGCGACCCGACCCCUUAGGGGAGACGGACGCGCCUGACCGGCCCCCGAGGCCCGUCGGAGUCCAGGCCUCGGGACCCGAGGGGAGCGCUCCCAGCUCCCUUAGAUUGAUUGCUUGGAUCGCUGAGAUCCAAGCAUACCUCACAGAUAAGACUCUACCCGAGGACCGCGAAUGGAGUGAACGCGUCCAGCGCAUCUCCAAACGCUACGUGCUGGUAGAAGGGACCCUCUAUUGGCGCGCGGCUAACGGAAUCCUCCUGAAGUGCAUUCCUCGGGAACAAGGCGUCGAGCUUCUUGCCGAUAUCCAUGAAGGCGAAUGCGGAGCCCACUCCGCCUCGCGCACCUUGGUUGGCAAAGCCUUUCGUCAAGGUUUCUAUUGGCCGAUAGCUCUCAAUGAUGCGGUCGACCUGGUCCGGCGAUGCAGAGCGUGUCAAUUCCACGCCAAGCAAAUCCAUCAGCCGGCCCAGGCCCUGCAGAUCAUACCACUUUCAUGGCCAUUUGCUGUCUGGGGGCUCGAUAUCCUGGGACCGUUUAGGCGGGCCCCGGGCGGAUUUGAGUAUCUGUAUAUCGCGAUCGACAAGUUCACUAAGUGGCCCGAGGCUUAUCCGGUCGUCAAGAUCGAUAAGCACUCCGCACUUAAGUUCAUUAAGGGCAUUACAGCCCGGUUUGGGGUGCCUAACCGUAUUAUUACGGAUAAUGGCACCCAAUUCACUAGUGAACUUUUCGGCGGUUACUGCGAAGACAUGGGCAUCAAGCUCUGCUUCGCCUCCCCCGCCCACCCCAGAAGCAAUGGCCAAGUAGAGCGCGCCAAUGCGGAAAUCCUCAGAGGCCUUAAAACCAAGACCUUCAACAUCCUCAAGAAGCACGGCGAUUCGUGGAUCGAGGAGUUGCCAGCGGUGCUCUGGGCGAACCGAACCACACCAAGCCGAGCAACCGGGGAAACGCCUUUCUUCCUCGUCUACGGCGCGGAAGCGGUUCUCCCAUCCGAGCUCACCCUGAGGUCCCCUCGGGCCACCAUGUACUGCGAGGCUGAUCAAGAUCAGCUUCGCAGAGAUGACCUCGACUACUUGGAGGAGCGAAGGCGGCGCGCGGCCCUCCGAGCCGCGCGCUACCAGCAGAGCCUGCGGCGCUACCAUCAGCGCCGCGUCCGGGCCCGAUCACUCUGCGUCGACGACCUCGUCCUACGCCGCGUCCAAACGCGUGCUGGAUUGAGCAAGCUCUCACCAAUGUGGGAGGGUCCGUAUCAAGUGAUCAGCGUCUCCCGGCCGGGCUCCGUUCGGCUGGCCACGGGCGACGGCACAGAGCUGCCUAACCCGUGGAACAUCGAACACCUUCGUCGCUUCUACCCCUAAUGGGGUUCGGGUGUCAGGUUUCGGGCUCGGGCCAACCCCGCACCCCCCUCGGGCGUGCAGGGUUGGCCGGGGGCUACCACAUAUGCAUAUUCUUAUUUCUCUUCUAUCUGUAUUUCAAUAAAAGCAUUUUCGAUUUCCUAAAGGCUGUGUCUGUGCUGUUGUUUCCUUUUGAAGAAUCUUGACUUGAAAUAGGUCACUCGUGCUCAAUCCUGCCCUCGGGGGCUCGAGUCGGGUAAAAUCGCCAAAAGGGGCCCAGAACCGAGCCGUGCCCCGGGGUGCGGUGAACUCCGGGGGGGGGGGGGGGGGGGAAUCGGCAAAAACCCACAAUCGGGUCACCCAUAACCCUCGGUCACCACACUCCUGGCCUGGCCAGUCUCGGCACGUGGAUCUCCCCAGGCACUAGCCCCGACCCGAGCCAUUUGAGGACUGGGACCUGGGCACGAGCCCUUGUUCGAGCUAAGACACAAAAGGACCAUGGCACAGAUCAUCCUCGUUCUCAUACACACAGUAAAAUGAAAUUGACACAGAAAUUUCUUUAUUUUGAUUGCAGAGUAGGUUAAUCUAUACAAAAAGGAGGCCCGAAGGCCUCGGAAGAAAAAAAAAAGAUUGGCGGGGACCUGGAAGCUCACUCCGAUGCACCCGGGUCGCCAGCCUCAUCGCCACUGUCGCCCACACCGCCGUCAUCGCCCUCCUCGUCGGAGCUGAGGGCGAACGCGAGCCAAGGGGCCGAACCCUCGAAGCUGUGGACGAUAUGGCUGGCGGCGUCUUGGACCCGCGCGCGCGUGCCGUCCUCAGUCCCGGGAGGGAACUCGUCCAGCGCCGUCCAUGGGGAGAAGUCGGGGUCCCUGGCCUGGUAACUCGCCAGUACGAGCUCCACCGCUCCUCGGGCGAGGUCCCUCGAGGAUGACUUAAUCGUCCUCUCGAGCUCCUCGGGGAGCCGUUGGAGAGUCCCGGCCAUCUCCGAGAGGCGCUGGGCGAGGCCUCCCUGGUUGGCGGCGUACUUCGCAGUCCGCCCGCCCCAGAGACCCGCCUGCCGCCCGGCGCGGUCUAAACGGGACACGGCGUCGCGAAGCAUGCUGGGCCCUAUCUCGCCUGCCAGACGAAGGGCCUCGACCUCCCCGGUGGACGAAUUCAGCGCGCCCUGCAGAUCCGCGAUGGUGUGUUCGGCAGCUGCGAGGCGGGCGGCUAAGUCGCUGUCGCCCGUGGCCGCCCCGCCGCUACGCGCCCUUGCAUCCAGCUCCCUUGCCUGCGCCUCGAGUUCAGCGGCCCGUUGGUUCAGUGCGGCCCUCUCGGCACGGGCACCUUCCAGAUUGCGACGCGCUUGUUCCUCUUGCGCAGCUUCGCGGAGGGACGCGCUCUCCACCAGCCUUUGCGCUGCGGCUUCGGCCUCCUCGAGGGCUCGCUCCCGCUCGGUGAGCACAUCCUCGCGGAGACGGAGUGCGGACUCUUCUUCGGCACAGGCGGCUUCGUGCGCCGCCAGUGUGACCUCCCGAAUGGCAACGGCGGCCUCGCGGUCCGCCAGGUCCCUCUCCACGACGCCGGCACGCUCUUCCAGCGCCAUGGCACGGGCCUCAAGGGCUUCUUCGCACCGCCGGGAUGCCACCUCGGUCUCUUGGGCAGCGGCAGCGUCAAGGACCCCCCGGGCGGCGUCGAGCUUCUUCCCUAGCUCCGCCUCCCAACUCCUGUGUUGAAGGCGGAGGUCGUCCUGUGCCUCGUUCAUCACGGUAGUGGCGAUGAGGGCAGCCCCCCGCUCCUCCUCCACCUCCCUGGCGAUCUCCUCCAGCACCUUCCGACGGGCUUCGAGCUCUGAGGCGUGCCGGCAGUGUGCCUUGCGGCCCACCUCCACCAUGGCCUCCACCGCGCGUCGCCCCUCUUCGACACGCGCCCAUGCGGCGUCGAGCUCCGCCCGCUCUGCUUGCAGGGCCUCCAUCUGGGCACUUAACCCGUCCAACACCGUGGUGUUUGCGACGGCUAAGGCCUGCAGAAGGGGCUCUGCACUCAGUGGGGCAACGGAAGGCGUGGGGGAGAGCCGCCUCGGUGAGGAUGCCGCGCGGCUCGGCCCGCCGAUGGACGUGCCGGGCUCGGGGACGUCCCCCGGACCUGACUUGUCCUGAGUGUCGCCCGAGGGAGUGGGCCCAAGCGAUGCGCCCGCGGCCUCGUCGCGAGCUGCCUCGGAAGUCGUCGCCGCCUCGGCCUGGCGGAGUCUGGCCUCCUCCCGUGCGGUUUCUUCAGCCUGGCGGGCCCGGACGGCCUCCCGGGCGGCCUCCUCGGCUUCCCGUAGGCGAUCCGCGGCUUCUCGCCGGUCAGAUUCCCGCCUCCGGGCCUCCGCGGUCGCCGUAUCCUCGGCCUCAGACUGGCCGGACUUGGAAUGGCGGGAGGGACGCGACGAGAUCUCGCUGAAACAGAAGAAAGACCAGAAGACAAACAAGAUGGGUGAGUGAAAACUCGCGUUGGGAGAAUGAAUACAGCCACAAUGGGCGUGGGACGAACCUGCGAGGAGGUCGGUUAAACGACCACCUUGGAGGGGAAAUGAGGUUUCCCCGGGAUGGUUCUGUCCCCCCAUCUUGCGGAGCCGUUUUUUCUUCCGCUCCCCCUCGGGCUGCGGCAUCGGCGCGGCCCCCUCCGGGCGCCUGCUGCUGACACGCGCCGCCCCGCCCCCUCGGGGAGGAGAUGGGGAGGAGGUACCCUCCUGCUUCCUCUUCCCUCGGGCGUCGGCAGGGCGGCAGCCCCCCGAGCCCCCGUCACAAAGCCCGGAAGCACGACCCCCUCCUGGGGUAGAUUGUUCUCCCCUGCAGCUCCCGCCCGCGCCAUCAUGGCCUCGAGAAGCCUGCUCCUCUGAGGCUCUGACCGCCAUCAUGAUGGUCAGGAUGUUGGCGCGAUCUGGAUCGUUGCAGAGGGGGAGGACUCCUUGGGGGAUGAGGGAUGCCUCCACGGAGCUGAGAUUCAGCACCCGUUGGAUCAUUACCUUGAAGUCUUCAGGGACCCAGUCCCAUUUGACCCCCCGGUGGGUCCUCAUACAGUCCUCGGACCCGGUGUACUCCCAGGCGCCCCGGGCGCGCCGCUGGAGUGGCGCGAUCCGGCGACGAAGGUAGUCGCCGUACACCAUGGCCCCUGUGAGCCCCUGGGAUCGCAGGCCCGUCAGGCGGUCGAGGACGGCGUCGUAGCCAUCUCCCAGAUCUACCGGCGCCCGCCAGCUGGAGGCCUGCGCCGGGGGCUGGCUCGGAAGUCGGAGGCGCGCUUCGUCGGCGAGGGGGGUGUAGAACCAGUCGCUCUUCGCGUCAUCCCACUUCUUGCGGAGGACGCAGGGAAUGUAGCGGUUCAGCACCGGCCCCCGCGGUUGGAAGUAGCAGCCACCAACCACCGACGGCGGCGACACCGGCUGUACGGUGAAGAACCACCGGAACAGCCGAAGGGAUGGGCGCACCCCGAUGAACAUCUCGCACAGGUGCGCGAAGAUGGCCAAUGUCAUUACCGCGUUGGGGGUGAGGUGCGCCAUCUGGAGAUCGUAAAACUCCAGAAUAUCCAUGAAGAAAGAAGAAAAUGGCGGAACCAGCCCUGCCAUUGCGAAAGGGAGGAAGAAAACGGACCGCCCCGGGUAGCGUGGCGCCGGGCGUCCCUCGCCCAGCGUAACUAUCUCCCGGCCGGUGGCAGAUUCUGGCAUGAAGCGGCGCGGCAGCCCGGCCUGCCUCUCGCUCACGAUGCGGGAAGGCGGCAGCACGCUACCAUCGAGUGGAGCGGAGCCCCGUGCCAUGACGCCGGUAGAAGAGAUGUUUGAGAGCGAGCGCGUGUGGCGAGGGUAGGGCAUAGGAAACAAGGAGUUAGGGCGCAAGCGGCGAAGACAAGGGGAAUAAUGGCGAGAGGAAGGAAGCGAAUCUCUUCCUCGGUGUCUUUAUACCUUUGCCAACGCUGUGCCCGGCUCCUCGCUUCUUGCGCCCACUAUCUCGCUCCCUCUUUUCUCGCGCCCACGCUUCCACUAAUCCCAUUCGCCCGCUUGCGGCGCGUGAGGUGGAUAUGCGGUUGUGGCAGUCGAGAUGGAACAUAUCAUGCGCACGUUAAAUACACUCGCCGACCGAAGCACCAUCAGCAUAUCUCCGGGCAAAACGAACCGGCUCGUCCCGAUUCGCGUGCUACUCGAGUAAUGUGGCAGUCUUGAAGAGGCCGCUCAUUAUUGACAGUCGAGUUACCAUUGCCGAUGUGCGUGAUUUGCGACCGUUGUUUUUCUGCCCAACUGUAGAGACCAGCCCCACUUGUCACCAGGCCUAAGUAAGUGGCGUCACGCCCGACCGCUUCCCUCGAGGAGGGCGAUCGCCCUGGCAUAACGCCGGGGGCUACUGUCGGUGACAUGGGACCGGGAGUAUCGUGACUAGAGGUUUGGGCAGGAGCAAUCACCCACGUGGCCUGACCCCCUCGGGGGGGGGGGGGGGGGUCGGGCCCGAGGGUGAUGAGGCCGCCCCUCUCUUCGUCUCCCCGAGGGGUCGGACCGCUCCCGUUUCGGCCCCGAGGGCCGAGGCGCCCCGACCCCUUGUGGGUUUUGCGCCGCGUGUAUGGGUUAGGUGAGCACAGCGAGGCUCACCUAACCGUAUUUAUUGCAGGUUUGAACGAGCGCGUCACGCCGCAUGUAACGCAGUGCAGCGCGCUCGUUUAUCCGGUCUAUGACCGGUCACAGACCGGUCAGAUCGUGGGUUAGG
rnacentral:lncRNA from 1 species